rnacentral:lncRNA from 1 species
GCAGUUCCACUAUGGUCGGCCUGUAGUGAAUAUAAAUUGAAUGAAUAUAACUAUGGGUCUGUCUAUUGGGCAGUCGCCUGGUUUUAGAACCGAAACCAGUCGCCUGUUUUUUGGUUCUGUACCAGUCACCUGGUUUUUUGGCCAAAAACAGUCAAAUGUCAUAGGCAAAAGAAUGAACAGGCUGCUAGCUUUGGCACUCAAAAUAACAUGAAUACAAACUAUAACACCGCAGCAUAUGGAGCAACAUGGAAUCAAAGUACAAAACACAAACAUUGAUUUAUGGUUUUUGGUCUGCAAACCUUUUUAUAGUGUUAUCUUCUGUGCAGACAAAAUACAUUCAAACUCCAAAUGCUUCCAGGAUAACCCAAAAUGUAAAUUGUUCUCUUCUGUGCAGACAAGAGACCUUCAAACUCCAAAUGCUUCCAGAGUAACCAAAAUAAAAAAUCUUGUUAUUUUUUUGUACCACCAACCAAAGUUACAGAAUACAUGACUUUACUAGUGAAAUGUAUGUAGCAGUGUUUCAUUCCCCCGCAAAAACAAAAACAAUAUUUCAUUACAAGUAAAGCUAACUAUCUGCUGACAGAACAAAGGCCAAAGAAAAACUAUAAUUAGGACCCAACUUUUCCUGUUUUCCAAUUUGCUGAACUCAAGAAAGCUCAGAUGAAAAUUGGAAGCAAAGCUUUCACUUACCAAACCCAAAUUCUUGUUCGAGUCGGAUGCCGGUAAACAGAAGGCAAAGCACAUUGAUGAGUAAAUGAACAACCCCAGCAUGAAGCCACCAGAUACAUGUAAUCAGACGCCAUCCUUGUCGACCCUGGACAAUUUUAGAGACGUCUAGAUCUCCCAUCUUACCCUAACUGGACCUGUGAGUUUCUGAAUAAGCACAAUUUGUUUUUCACCCAAAGAAAAAUAAAAAGAUGAAGGAAACGAUAUGGAAGCACUAAAUCUGAAAAUGGAAAACAACAAACAUUCCAAUUGCAGAGAGUAGAAUGCAGUUGGAGAGGGGCAUCACAUAUUCAAAUGAGUGCCUGUGCAUCAAUCAAUCAAUCAGCUACCGCAACCUAAUCGGAGGAGAUAAAUUAACAGAGUAGUACACCUAGCUUGUACUUGUAACCAGGAACCAAUUUCAGCAGUUCAUGCUUGCUACAGUAAGUAAUUGCAGGCAGAGGGGGAAAAGGGGAGAAAUUCACAAACAAACAACAAACAAACAACAAACAAACAAAGUCAAAGUAUGCAGAGAUCAAGAACACAAUUUGCUCAAAUCUAUAUCUAAAAUUUUAGUGCAAAAACUUGCAUAAACCUGUUGCAUUCCCAUGUUAUAUUCGAUCUGGGUUCAUCAAACAAUGAAAAUAAAGAAAAAGAAAAUUUGUUGUUCAAAACCUACUGAAGUGCAUAGAUUUUGAUCACACAUUCAGAGACCAAAAACUACGAAAAAAGGAAUCCUUAAACCAGGGAAAUUGCAUAAAUGUGCAAUUGGUUUUGCUUAAAUUCAAUGGUGCAAUUGUAAAAGGUCAGUGCUGAAAUUGAGCAAACUAGAAAUAUAUGGUAUCAAAGUUCUGAAAAAGAUUUGAAUUGCAAGCUCUGGAUACAGAGGGACAUAUACAGAGGUGCAUAAAAAAAGAACAAAAUGACCACACUAGUUGGUACAGAAAAACUGCAAUUGCAAUGAAUGAAAAUCAAGAGUGAAAAUUGCACUUUUCCAGAGUAUAACUUGCAGCACUGUUUGUCGGUGCAUAAAAAAAGACAACAAAAAUGUUCAAUUAGGCAAAUAUAACCCACUAGUUGGGACAGAAAAAUUGCAAUUGCAAUUAAUGAAAGUCGUAGUCCGAUUGCGCUAAAGUAUAAUGUAAAAUGCGAUAUUGUUUGGCAGUGGAUCAAAAAAGAGAACAAAAUGUUCAAGUUAGGCAAACAUAACCCCACUAGUUGGGACAGAAAAAUUGCAAUUGCAAUUAAUGACAGUCAACAGUGCGAUUGCACUUAGACAGAGUGUGAAAUGCGCUAUUAUUUGGCAGUGCAUCAAUUAGAGACACAAAAUGUUCAAGUUAAUGCAUAUGACACCCCCCCCUGGUUGGGACUGAAAAAAAAUGCAAAUGCAAUUAGUGAAAGUCAACGGUGCAAUUGCACAUAUGCAGAAUGUAGGUUGCGCUGCUAUUUGGCAAGGCAUCAACGAGAGAACAAAAAAUGUUCAAGUUAGGUAGAUAACACACACACACACACACACACCUAGUUGGAACAGAGAAAUUGCAAUCAAUGAAGGUCAACAGUGCAAUUGCAUAUAAUUGCCCCUUAAAAAAUUAUGAGUUCAUCAAGUUAUACUAUAUAUGGAGUGCAGUUACAGAACAAAGCAUCUGCAAUUUCAAAUAAAGAUAUACAAAUUGCAUGCUAUAGUAGCAAACAAAAAUGGUACAAUUGCAGUUGUACUUCAAGUUACACCCCCUAUUGAUUUAACAUACUCCCUCCGUUCCAUGUUAAUUGGCACGACUUUAGUACAAGUUGUGCUAAAUUCACACCAAUUAAUAUGGAACGGAGGGAGUAGCAGUUAACCUGCCAGAUUUAGUAUGCAAGUUAUACCACUACUGUUUUUACAUAGCACUUAUUUUUCAAAGCAAUACAAACAUUUAUGGCUUAUAUAGCACUUAAUCGCAGUUAUGAACCAAUUCUACGGUGUUUCAGUCUUUAACCCCUUUUUUUUAUCAGUCACAAAUUAAAAAUUCAAUUGCAAUGUAAAAACACUUGAAUUGCAGGGGAGCAGGUUGUGCAACUGAUAAAGCAAAUUCAAUCCUACAGUCAGGAGAAACAGAAUUCCGUUCAGUGCUUCGCUUCUAAUGAAAUUUUGAAAAUUUAAAGAGAAUUACAAAUUCAGAGUAGACAAAAAACUAAAGAAGAUAUGAGCUAAUAUAUAAUAACGAAUACAAAUAAAGAAAACUAGGACAAAAGGACCUAUGGAACAUGGCGGCCAACACCCCUUUGCCUCGUGUUGUUACGAAAGAAAGAUUUCAGAUAGAAAAGGCAGACAAGUAGUUAAAAUUGACAUGAAGAAUAAAAGCAGUUAAUAUUGAAUUUGCAAAAUGAAAAGAACAUUUGAACACAAUGGUCACAUGUACCGGAUCACUGAUAUUGUCGAUAAUUAGAUCAGUUUCUUCAAAAGAUAAAGGUCACAUGUACCGGAUCACUGUAAGACCAAAUAAUGCUAGAAGGAAAAAUCCCCCUCUAUAGGAAAAACAACAUGCCUAAUAUACUGGACUACAAGAACAAUACUAAGCACAUAUUCGGUACAUACACAGAUAACCGAGCCAAUAAAUAAAUAGAAAUAAAAAUGAAACUAGAGAUAGCAGCAAAGUUUCAGUAUAUGCUUGGCACAGAUAAAGUUGCAAGUUAUAAACCCCAAAAACUUACAAAGCAGGUGACGAUUAAAAAUGAUGCAAUGUUCAGUUAUACAGGGAACACAAAGGGACUAUAGGCUAACACAUACACACCUAUAUAAACUCUUCUCUAGUUAAACUAGAGAAGAUCAAUUAAGAGGAUCGAUUAAACUAACAGAACUACCCUUGAACACACUAACAAAUCUGCAAAAUUACAAGCAAGAAAAUGAAUAAGGGGGGCAAUAUAAUAAACAAAGAAAGACGCUGUACCUUAAAUUUCUCCUUCCAAACUAUCCUCUUCUUCCUGUUUCGACAGUUUUACCAAACUAGAAAAAAUAAGGAAAAUAACACUAUAAGGGUGUAAUUGAUAGCUACUUAAAGAACACACGAAGAUACCAUUAAAAAACACAGAUGGGGGAAGGUGGAAGGAAAACCCAUACAAUCAACUUGAGCUUGUUCAGAAAUGAGCGGUCAUCAAUUGCCUCAACAACACGUAAAGUGUCGACAUCGUCCAUGGAAUCAUCAGCAGCUGGCAAUGAAUAAUCUUCUUCAUGAGUCCCAUCAUCACCAUUUGAGUCAUUGUUACCAAAUAGAUUGGAUGUUGAAUCCACUGACACUGCAAAUAGACAACAGAAAAGGCAUGAAAUCACCAUAUGGAUCUGUCUAGAAACACCACAGCUCCCACUUCUCAACCAACAGAAACCCAAAAAAGAGAGGAAAAUUUAACUCCCCAUCCCUAUCCCACACUGAGAUGAAAUUUGCCUCGUAUCACUCUCAAUCCUUAGCCCCAUAUUUAAGGGUCUGCAUAUAUAAACACCCACACCUCUCAAUCCCCACUAGAUAUGAGAUAUCUACACUGCAACAUAAGACUCUUGUUUAUUCAUCAACAAACUGCACACAAAAAAUGGAGCAAACACACCUCUAAACUAUGAAUCCCCACCAAGCUGAGGUGAUUCCACUGCCCGCAACUCAACCAGGACGCACAGAGAGCAAGCAGCAACCUCGCAGAACUGAUUCCACCGCCAAAAAACGCGGCAACUCAACCCCUUGCUCCGGCCAUCACCGCCUAACAACCCCUCAACUCCAGCCGCGAUAGGGGGCCGCCUGAGUUUGACCAGGACCUCGCCACCGGCCGGUCUAGUUCCGACUGCAACAAACUCCGCUGCAGAAACUACCACCGCUGAGAGAACACAACCCACCACUACAGCACACAUCAAGUUUCCAGCCACCCUUCCGCCGGCGACAAUUGCCACCGCUCGAAACCCUAGCGGCCGAACAUCGCCGUUCCCCCUCACCGCUCUGCCUGCCGAUUUGGGGGAAAUGAAAAGGGGAAAACGGCUGACUGAAAAGUUCAAACAGUAAUCCCUCCGGGCAUAAGAAAACAACAAAAGAAAAACAGAGAGGCCCACCCCGAAGCACGAAUCUCACAGCAGCAACGGACGUACGAGAUGGUCGACUGAAACAGAAGAAAAAACCAGGCGCCUGUGCAAUAGCAAAUCUGUAUAACUAUAGGGCAAACACUUAAAAGGCUUCUUCCAAUAGGGAAAACAAAUAAAAAAAUUAAAAGGCUUUCUUUCUAUGAAUUUUGCCGGUGGGUAAAAACUAAAGCAUCAAGAGUACUUACUGGUAUCUAAAGGGAAAACAAAUAAAAUGACCAAGGACUCCAAUCAAUGGCAAAAUUU